UGAUGUUUGUGUGUGACAGCCAGGUAGGAUAGUUAGCCAAUCUUUAUUCAGUUUCAGUGUUGUAUCUCGAAAUGAGUUCUCAGAUGUUCGUCCUAAAAUAUUCACAAUCAAAUUGAGUUCUAUUUGUCUUGUAAGAAUGGACCAUCAGAUUGACAAUCCGAAGCUUGCUUUUGCUUACUUACGUCCAGCCUGUGUCCUCCUGACUCGUGAGCCUACUGUGGGCAAUGUAGAAAGCCUGAGCACUCAGCUGAGGCAUGUCAAUGAUGGAACUCUUCAGCAGCUGCAGGACUAUGUCCUUUUCCCUCUCCGCUUUGUCCUCAAAAUCCCUGGCCCCAAACAAGAUGGCUUAGUCCAGGCCGUGGCCGAGGCCAUGGCCUACAUCCUGGAGAACACCUGUGUACACUGCUGGCAGACGCUGAGAGAUCUCCUCUCUGAGCUCUGUCUCUGCCUCUGCUCCCCCACGGACCCAGGGAAGCCAGCACCAGCCUCAGAGGAGCUGAAAGCUGCAAUACUGAGGUGCCUGGAUGCUCUACUACAUGCAGCGUAUGGUGAUGUGGUCUUCAAGCUGUUUGAGCCAACCAUGCUGCCUGGCCUUGGUGCGGCUAUCUCUCUGCUGCUAGCCUUAGGAGAGCAGGAGAAGUCCCGCACUGUGCAGGCAGCUGCACUGAAAUGCCUCCAGGUCCUGACCCUCCAGUGUGACUGUUCACUGGACCAUGUGUCAGUGGGUCAGAAGGAAAGGCAUGUCCUAGGCAGCACCAUGGCUUCCUUCUUACCUGGUAUUACCAUUGCUGUGAGCCGUGUGAUCACAGGGGAUAUGAGGCAUGGACACACUGUUACUGUCAGAGCAGUAAAGGUGUGGUUCAAGACAGUGGGACUGGUGAUGGCUGACGACCAGCUACAGAAAGCCGGGUGUGAGGAGAAGCCGCCCACUGAGCUGGGGAGAGUGGGAGAGUUGGUAGUACAGAGGACUCCAGACUGGAUGAGAAACACCAGUGGGAGACUGGCUUUGUUGUUAAAAAAUAUUAUCUCCUGUACCUCAGCUCAUCAGCACUGGAGAGUCAGGCUUGAGAUGGUGAACCUAUCAGACCACCUCCUUACCAACUGUAAAUCCUCCCUGGGUGAGUGUGUGGGUCUCCUCCUUGAGGCUCUGGUGGGAGCUGUGAAUGACGAGGAGACCAUUGUGAGGGAGAGGUGUGAGGCUGCCUUGAUGGAUGUGGCAGAGAGGAGUCAGAGUUCAGAUGGGAACAACCAGGCCUUCACUGAUGUGCUGUCAGAGAACCUCCACUCCCUGGCCACUUCUUUGCCUCGCUUAAUGAGAACGUCUGAUGACCAGCGUAAGAUGUUUGUCCUCAACGUGUUCCUAGGCUACCUCAAGAUUCUGGGCCCCCGGGUGACGUCGGUGCUGAACUCUGCGACCCAUCUUCAGCGGCUGUCCAAAGCCCUGAUGCAGGUGUUAGAGCUGGAUGUGACGGACGUCCGCAUUGUGGAGGAAAGGAGCUCCAUCCUUACUGAGGAGACGGGGGUCGGACCUCACAGGCCACAUGCUCAGAGGAAACACUUCCUCUACUUCACCGAUGAGAGGAUCUUCUCCACUGUCAAGGAGAUAUGCAGGAUGUUAGGUUACUACGGCAACAUGUAUCUCCUAGUGGAUCACUUGAUGGAUCUGUUCAAAGAGUCUGCAGUCUACAGGAAGCAGGCUGCUAUGGUGCUGAAUGAAGUGAUCACAGGAGCAGCAGGCGUUGUAGUAACCCGAUGCCAGGAGAGGCAGGCCAAACCUAGUCAGGAGGACCUGAAAUCAACAGUGGAGUCCAUCAUAGAGGAGUACACCAGCCCGAGUCACUGGCACUUGUCAACACGUAUUAGUGAGGAUUCUGAGAGCUGGGAACCGGAGCAGCUAAGCCAGUCUAGUCUCCUUUCCAUAUCUAAUGAUGUUGAAGGGAAAGGAAAUGCCCUCCAGUCAGUCCAUGCAGUUCGCAAGAACUCCACAAUCCAUGAUCUGAACAGCAAUAUCUGGCAGAUCUGCAUCCAGCUGGAGGGGAUAGGCUGCUUCGCCCAUGCCUUGGGGAUGGACUUCCGUCUCAUCCUGAUGACAUCACUAUACCCAGUGCUGGAGAAGGCAGGGGAUGAGACUCUGUUGAUCAGCCAGGCAGCACUGAAUGCCAUGUGGGAUAUCAGCCAGGCCUGUGGGUAUGCGUCCUUGAAGGAGCUGAUCAAUGAGAACUCUGACUACUUGCUUAACAACGUAUCUCUGAACCUGCAGAGGCUGGGUGUCCACCCCCAUGCACCCAGGGUCCUUACCGUCAUGUUCAGCCACUCCGACUCCAGCCUGCUGCCUCUGGUUGGGGACAUUGUCCAGGAUGUGCUGCUGGCUCUGGACAUGAGCUACGACGAGACGUCCCCUCUUUUUUGCACUGUGCUGCACUCGCUGAUGAAGGCUCUAGCGAGAUGGUUCCCAUCUGGUAUUCGGAUAACAAAUGAGAACAACAAAGCCAAGAAGGUCUGGUGUGAGCAGGACCAGCUGAAUGUGCACCAGUUUCUCCUGGACUUCCACAAACAGAUGGAGCUGGCAGAGGGCAUUGGGGUAGAGGAGGAUGUGGGCACAGAGAACCCAGAGAUCCCUCCGCUGACAGAUCUUGACGAAGACAUGGAGGGUCCUGAUGUGAAAGCUGAACUCCCAUACCACAUCACCAUAGCCAAAGAGGUCAUGGAGCGCUGUGUUCACCUGCUGUCCGAUCCCAGGCUCCGACUCCGACUGAAGGUCCUGGAUGUGCUUGAGCUGUGUGUGUGUGUGCUGAGUGAGAAGGAGAAUGAGCUGUUACCAAUGGCCCACCGCUGCUGGCCUGCCCUCCUGCUCCGACUCACUGCUGACGACCCACUAGCUGUCCUCCGAGCUUUUAAGGUUCUCUGCACACUGGGAGAAACCUGCAGAGACUUCUUGAGGAAGAGGGUGUCUAAAGAAGUGCUUCCCAAGCUGACCGCCUCGCUGUCCAAACAGGCUCCAGUGAGUGCCAGGGCGGGCCCAGUCUACAGCCACACCCUGGCCUACAAGCUGCAGCUGGCGGUGCUGCAGGGCCUGGGCUCUCUAUGCCUUCGUCUGGACCUAGGAGACAGAGAACUUGCUGCUGUUGCCGCCGCGGUCAAGGGACCGACACAGGGCUUACCACAAUGACGCCCACAGGUUUUCUGCUGUAGAUCUGCGUGGAUACACCUCACCUAACCGAGCUGAUGCAUGGUCUUCUCUGUAUGUGGUGCUCUAAGAUAUCAGACCCAGAAGAAUGCAGCUGAGUAGGCAUGAGAUGAGUACUGUGGACAUGAGAUGAGUAGGCAUACGAUGAGUGGGCUGGAGGCUGCAGUAGUAAAACACAGUAGUAAACAUCAGCUCCUCCUCACCAUUGGAAUAAAUCCAGGUUGCUUGUUAUUGGUCAGGCAUCCCAUCGUGGUAGGUUUUAUUUCCCCCAUAGAGAAACGUUUGGACACUCCCUCUGUAUUUCACAGGGACCUCGUUCCCAGACAAAAGAAGAAAUGGGUAGGUUUACCGCAUAAUAUCAAUGCUGGUAAAAACCCAUUUACCGUUUGAAAUGGGCACUAUUGUGUUCAGUCACAACGAAGCAGGUUGUUUUUUUUUUAGUCGUGCAGACUGAGUUGCAAAGCAUCGCAACAGACCUUGAGUGAGAAGGCUUAUUCUGAAAUGAGGUUUGAAUGGCGACCCAGUUAAGAGCUCGGGGAAUACGUGUCUGUGGGGUGGGGGGAGCAGGGGGGGGGUGCUACCUCAAAGUGGUGGAGUUGCCAUGGUUAUGAAAGUACCGGGUGGGGAGUGGAUGUGUGAAAUCCGGAGAUGGAGUCAAGCUGGGAGAUUCCCCGACCAUUUCAGCACUUUCCUCAACACAAUCUGUUCCCUUCCCUUUUUUCUUUCCCCAUUUUUUUCCAUUCCUCCAUUUUCCUUGAAUACAUCUGUGUUUGCUUUUUGCAGGGGACUCGGAUCUGGAUGCUGUAACUGAAGCCUGUCUGCCCUACCUCAGCUGCAGACAGCCACCUAAGCUGCAAGAGGCCUGUCUAAGUGUCUUCCGGCACCUGAUUGAAGCGGACCCUGAC